CCCCCCAAAGUUGGGGCACCCCUCGGAGCUGCCCCCCGAACCCGCCCCCGACUACGAGGGGGACGAGGAGUUCCUGCGCCGGGUUCACCACGUGCUGCUGGAGGUGGAGGUGCUGGAGGGGGCCCUGCAGUGCCCGGACUCGGGGCGGCGCUUCCCCAUCUCCAAAGGGAUCCCCAACAUGCUGCUGAGCGACGACGAGGCCUGAGGGGGGUCCCCAAUUUAUGGGGGGGGGGGGUCCCCCAGAGUGGGAUUGAGGCGUUGGAACCCCCCCCCAAAUAAAAGAGUUAUUUUAUUCGUGUGGAAGAAUCUC